rnacentral:rRNA from 1 species
CUCCCUACAGGAGGCAGCAGUGGGGAAUAUUGGGCAAUGGAGGCAACUCUGACCCAGCAACGCCGCGUGAAUGAUGAAGGUCUUCGGAUUGUAAAGUUCUUUUCUAAGGGAAGAAGAAAGUGACGGUACCUUAGGAAUAAGCCUCGGCUAACUACGUGCCAGCAGCCGCGGUAAUACGUAGGAGGCAAGCGUUAUCCGGAAUGACUGGGCGUAAAGGGUGCGUAGGGGGUUUGACAAGUUGGUAGCGAAAUCCCGAGGCUCAACCUCGGCACUACUACCAAAACUGUUGGACUUGAGUGCAGGAG